rfam:Catenaria anguillulae PL171 BCR44scaffold_11, whole genome shotgun sequence.
GGGGCUUUAACUCAGUGGUAGAGUGCUCGCUUUGCAUGCGAGAAGCCGCGGGUUCGAACCCCGCAAGCUCCA